rnacentral:rRNA from 1 species
UACUAGAGUAGCACUCGCAUAUCAAUAAGCGGAGGAAAAGAAACUAACAAGGAUUCCCCUAGUAACGGCGAGUGAAGCGGGAAGAGCUCAAAUUUGAAAUCUUAAAGGGUUUCCCUUUACGAAUUGUAGUUUAAAGAAGUGUUUUCUGUUGAGGUUUUGGUAAAAGUUCUUUGGAAUAGGACAUCAUAGAGGGUGAGAAUCCCGUAUUUGACCAUUACUUUCCAACUGUGUGAUACACUUUCAAAGAGUCGGAUUGUUUGGGAAUGCAGUCCAAAAUGGGUGGUAAAUUUCAUCUAAAGCUAAAUAUUGGCGAGAGACCGAUAGCGAACAAGUACCGUGAGGGAAAGAUGAAAAGAACUUUGAAAAGAGAGUUAAACAGUACGUGAAAUUGUCAAAAGGGAAGCGUUUGACACCAGUGUUGUUUUUCUGAAAAUCAAUUAAAGAACUGUUUAUGCUAAGUUGUUUAGACUUUAUCAGCUAUCUGUUUAGUUUUGAGCUUUUCUUUAAUGCACUUUUCAGUUAACAAGUCAACAUCAAUUUCUUUUGCUGUAAAAAAGCUUGAGGAAGGUGGCUUGAGAUUCGUCUUAAGUGUUUAUAGCCUCUUGCCUAUGCAGUCGGAGAGAUUGAGGUCUGCAGCGUAGAUCCUUCGGGGCUAAAUGCAUUUGUGCUAAGUUAUAGCAUUUUAUAGACAACUUGUUGACUAUGAUUUGUCUUGUAGCUUACUCGCUUAUGUUAUUUUACCUACGCUUAGGAUGUUGAAGACUCUACAGAGAUA